rnacentral:rRNA from 1 species
GACGAACGCUGGCGGCGUGCUUAACACAUGCAAGUCGAACGGAAAGGCCCUGCUUUUGUGGGGUGCUCGAGUGGCGAACGGGUGAGUAACACGUGAGUAACCUGCCCUUGACUUUGGGAUAACUUCAGGAAACUGGGGCUAAUACCGGAUAGGAGCUCCUGCUGCAUGGUGGGGGUUGGAAAGUUUCGGCGGUUGGGGAUGGACUCGCGGCUUAUCAGCUUGUUGGUGGGGUAGUGGCUUACCAAGGCUUUGACGGGUAGCCGGCCUGAGAGGGUGACCGGCCCCAUUGGGACUGAGAUACGGCCCAGACGCCUACGGGAGGCAGCAGUGGGGAAUAUUGCACAAUGGGCGGAGGCCUGAUGCAGCAACGCCGCGUGCGGGAUGACGGCCUUCGGGUUGUAAACCGCUUUCGCCUGUGACGAAGCGUGAGUGACGGUAAUGGGUAAAGAAGCACCGGCUAACUACGUG